ACGGGUGNGUAAUGUCUGGGAAACUGCCUGAUGGAGGGGGAUAACUACUGGAAACGGUAGCUAAUACCGCAUAACGUCGCAAGACCAAAGAGGGGGACCUUCGGGCCUCUUGCCAUCAGAUGUGCCCAGAUGGGAUUAGCUAGUAGGUGGGGUAACGGCUCACCUAGGCGACGAUCCCUAGCUGGUCUGAGAGGAUGACCAGCCACACUGGAACUGAGACACGGUCCAGACUCCUACGGGAGGCAGCAUG
rnacentral:rRNA from 1 species